AAUACUUCUUGCACCUUUGUUUCCUUGUCACCUGCUCUUUCUGUUUUGGGGCUUUCUCUUUGGCUUUGCCCUCAAGGUACAGAACAGUAUCAGAUUAGAUAGGGAGGAGUCCAGCCUUGGAAAAGUGGAACUAUACCUGUUGGCAGCUUUGGGAUUUAGAAUCUGACUAUGAAGCUGCUUGAGGGGGGAACUUUGGACUGAAGUUCCUAUGGCCUUCCUAGGAGAGGCUAGCACUCCGGAGGACAAAUGGGAAUCUGUAUUAUCUGCAAUACAAUGGAUACAAUUUGUCAUGGCUAUUCUGAGUGUUAUAGGUUCAAGUUCACUUAUUACCUAUGGUGUAUUCCAGAAUGUACAGAAAUCUCCAGAGAUAAGAUCACUUUUAUUUGAGCUUUUCUGACCUGCUCCUGGGAAUUUGUUGGCUCAUUGAAACACUUCUCUAUGGAACUUCCCUAGCCCAUAAGGACAUCAUCUGCUAUAACCUGCAAGCAGUUGGACAGCCUAAUUCCUCUACUAUUGAUGACACCUGUAUUCUGUUUGGGCACUGUCAAUGAAUGUUUCCACAACUUCAGCCAGAGCCACAGGUAAGGAAUGAUCUCAUCUAUUAUUAUCAUCAUGCCACAUAUCUUUUCUUUAAUAAAACUGGAAAAAUGACUUUAUCUUUUGUCUAAAGUAAUUGUUUUGGGAAUGGGUUUUGGAUCAAGACUAAAAAUACAUAAGCAAAAUAUAGCACAAAAUGACUACAAGACAAUGUCUGUAGGCAUGUUAAUAGUAUAAUAAAUACAGUUAUGUACUGUUAUUGCCCCAAAUGAGUGUCUUAUGUUUCUGUCCGUAGUAGCACUGCUGCCCAUUGGUUCUUUCCCCAGAUGUGUCCUGAUGCAUUUAUCAGCAUCAGCCAUGGUUGAAAUCCUGCCAUCUGUCAACACAUCCUCCUGCAGCACAGUUUAUUUUUAUGGUAGCACCAUCUUCCUUGCCAGCUUUUUCCUUA